rnacentral:lncRNA from 1 species
AUGUUUCUAUGUUUAGAAUGUGACUGUCAGUAUGUUUGCAUAUUUGCAUGCCUCACAUGUAUGAACCAAUAGGAUAUAGGCUUCAGAGAAGCAAAGAUUUGACUAACUUUAUUGACACACAGCAGAAUUAUGAUUUCUAAAUCUCAGUAAUUUACUUUCUUAAAGUAUAGGUCUGAUUCUCAUAAAAGUCCUGUACAAUGCUUAGAAGAAUGGAAUAUAUUGCAAAACAUUUCAUUCAUCAAGUGUCUGUCAUCCUACAAGUCCAAAUCGAGUAAUAAUUGUGUUUGCAUGUAUCAGCAGAGAAGAGGUGAAACUGUUCCAAGCAAUUAAAUAACUUAUAGCUCCUUGUUUGACAAAAAAUUGGCUAGAGAAGUUCACACCAUGAAUUUGAAGAAAGAAUGAGGCAUGUGAAAAGGUAGCUACAGCAAGACCUUAUUUGCUUAGCCACAGAAAAGGAGAGCUCAGCAGCUCUACCCAGGUAGGUAGUGGAAGACAGUGGAGGAACUGAUAUUCCCAGGGUUCUAUGAGGAGUGGGAGUAGGGAGUAGAAGAUGUGGGGUGGGUGGUGGCUGGGGCAAAGGUAGUGAGACCAUCAUCUAAGUUCUGGGUUUAAGAUAAUGAAGUGAAAUGAUUUUUGUUGUUUCUUAGGUCUUCAAUGGAGAAAUCUACUGAGAACUCAUUAGCAAAUCAACAAUUAUUAAAUUUUUUAAAAAGAAUGUCAGCCAAAUAAAGUGUGGACUGUAGAAAAUACCUGAAGAUCUUCCAAAUUUUGAAGAAGGCAGGAAAAGGGAAGAAGGCGCGUUGAGAGAAAGUGUGGAGCUACACAACAUAGGAAAUUCUGUAGACUUCAAAGAAAAGAUGUUUUCAAACAAGUUUUUCCAGAACUCCCAGUGGGGACAACAGGUGACUGUCAGGUGAGUGGUGUAACCAAUCAGGGAGGUUUGGAAGGAGAAAAGAAGGUGACUGGCUUUCAUCUUGGAGUUUGUUUCAACCAUACCAAAUAGACAUUUAAAAUAAAUUAUCAAAUACUGUUUAAUAGUGAUUAUGU